rnacentral:misc_RNA from 1 species
AUUCCGACUCGCACAUCUGUGAUUGUGGGCUGUGUUUUAUUUCUGUCGUCUAGGACAAAUUGAAAAAAGUAGAAACACAAGAGAAGAACCCUCUACCCACCAAAGAAACUAUUGAGCAAGAGAAGAAGGGCUAGGGAUGAAUGCAACAUGUGUAUAAACUGUGCUUUAAAGAGGGACUCGCAAUGACCCUUCUGUUUUUGCUCAUUUAAUUUUGUAAAACGAAUUCCAAUUUUUUUUCUUCUUAUGUAUGAAUUUAAAGAAUGCUUGAGAAUAAUUGUUACAUUGAAUGUAAGUAAGAAAGGAAGAUAGAAAAAAAGUGUACCAUCUUCAGUGUAUUGUUUUUGUAUAAUGGGCUGCAACCGUGACCCUGUUGUGUUUUGUACUUUACUGAAACUGAAUAAAGCACAACUGUGCGCCAUGGUCUUGAGCCAUCGGCCUAUGU